rfam:Trametes cinnabarina, BRFM137, WGS project CCBP01000000 data, contig: scf184999
AGCAACUUGACGCAGUGGAAGCGUGCAGGGCUCAUAACCCUGAAGUCCCUGGAUCGAAACCAGGAGUUGCUA